ACCGUCCGGGCCGCUGGCAGCGGCGACAGUGGGGACGGUGGCGGUGGCCUCCCAGCCGUCCUCAUCCUCGCUGCGGGGCGAUGAAGGGCACAGUGAGCUCCCGGUGUCUCCUCGCUCCCGGUGUCCCCGCGGGUGGCACGGGGCCGGUGCCGGUACCUGGCGGGGCGCUGCUGUGGCGGGGCCGCCCCUGCCAGCAGCGGGAUGUCCUCGGUGUCGCCGGCCACGUCCUCGUCAUCCUCCUCCUCCUCCUCCUCCUCCUCAUCCUCCUCCUCCUCAUCCUCCUCCUCCUCAUCUUCUUCCUCCUCCUCCUCCUCCUCCUCCCCGCGCGGGGGCCGGGCCGCGGUGGCCGCGGUGGCCGUGGCGGUGGCCGUGGCGGUGGCCGUGGCGGUGGCCGUGUCCCGUUCAGCACCGGGGGCAGAGCGGGUGGCCCCUACCGGACUUUCCUGGCACAGGGGUGAGCUGUGGCCACCAGCCCCGCCCGAUGGUCCACCAGCCCCGGCCCGGUGUCCGGAGCGGGAAUUUCCACGAGGAAAUUUCCCCGGGGCCGGCUGGGGUCAGCCCCGGGCGGGGUCAGCCCCGGGCGGUGCCCGCUCACCUCCUCCAUGCCGGGGUUGUCCUGCCCGUGGCUCUCGGGGCUCCCAGCAGGUCCCGGUUCCACUCUGGGGGUCCCAGCAGGUCCCGGUUCCACCCCCAGGUUCCCGUUCUGUCCCGGUCCCCCCAUUCUCCCCCGGUACCCCCCGUUCUCUCACGUUCCCGUUCUCCCCGGUUCCCCCCGUUCUCUCCCGGUUCCCCCCGUUUUCCCCGGUUCCCGUUCUCUCACUGUUCCCGUUCUCUCCCGGUUCCCCCCGUUCUCUCACGGUUCCCCCCGUUCUCUCCCGGUUUCCCCCGUUUUCCCCGGUUCCCGUUCUCUCACUGUUCCCGUUCUCCCCAGUUCCCCCCGUUCUCUCCCGGUCCCGCGCCCGUCCCGGGCACCUCCCGUUGCUCCGGCUGCUCCUCCGGCCUCCCGGCCCUGUCCCUGUUCCUGCCGGGAUUUCCUCUUCCUUUAACGGCUCAGCUGCCCGGCCGGGGGGGACCGAGGGGCCCUUGCGGGGUGCUCUGCCC
rnacentral:lncRNA from 1 species